rnacentral:rRNA from 1 species
UCGAGGGGCAGCAUGAAAGUUUGCUUGCAAACUUUUGAUGGCGACCGGCGCACGGGUGAGUAACACGUAUCCAACCUGCCUCAUACUCGGGGAUAGCCUUUCGAAAGAAAGAUUAAUACCCGAUGUCAUAGUCCUACCGCAUGAUGGGAUUAUUAAAGAAUUUCGGUAUGGGAUGGGGAUGCGUUCCAUUAGUUAGUUGGCGGGGUAACGGCCCACCAAGACAACGAUGGAUAGGGGUUCUGAGAGGAAGGUCCCCCACAUUGGAACUGAGACACGGUCCAAACUCCUACGGGAGGCAGCAGUGAGGAAUAUUGGUCAAUGGACGAGAGUCUGAACCAGCCAAGUAGCGUGAAGGAUGACUGCCCUAUGGGUUGUAAACUUCUUUUAUAUGGGAAUAAAAUGUUCCACGUGUGGGAUUUUGUAUGUACCAUAUGAAUAAGGAUCGGCUAACUCCGUGCCAGCAGCCGCGGUAAUACGGAGGAUCCGAGCGUUAUCCGGAUUUAUUGGGUUUAAAGGGAGCGUAGGUGGAUUGUUAAGUCAGUUGUGAAAGUUUGCGGCUCAACCGUAAAAUUGCAGUUGAAACUGGCAGUCUUGAGUACAGUAGAGGUGGGCGGAAUUCGUGGUGUAGCGGUGAAAAUGCUUAGAUAUCACGAAAAACUCCAAUUGCGAAGGCAGCUCCCUGGACUGCAACUGACACUGAGGCUCGAAAGUGUGGGUAUCAAACAGGAUUAGAUACCCUGGUAGUCCACACAGUAAACGAUGAAUACUCGCUGUUUGCGAUAUACGGCAAGCGGCCAAGCGAAAGCAUUAAGUAUUCCACCUGGGGAGUACGCCGGCAACGGUGAAACUCAAAGGAAUUGACGGGGGCCCGCACAAGCGGAGGAACAUGUGGUUUAAUUCGAUGAUACGCGAGGAACCUUACCCGGGCUUAAAUUGCACCUGAAUAAUGUGGAAACAUGUUAGCCGUAAGGCAGGUGUGAAGGUGCUGCAUGGUUGUCGUCAGCUCGUGCCGUGAGGUGUCGGCUUAAGUGCCAUAACGAGCGCAACCCUUAUCUUCAGUUACUAACAGGUCAUGCUGAGGACUCUGGAGAGACUGCCGUCGUAAGAUGUGAGGAAGGUGGGGAUGACGUCAAAUCAGCACGGCCCUUACGUCCGGGGCUACACACGUGUUACAAUGGGAGGUACAGAAGGCCGCUACCUGGCGACAGGAUGCCAAUCCCCAAAACCUCUCUCAGUUCGGAUCGAAGUCUGCAACCCGACUUCGUGAAGCUGGAUUCGCUAGUAAUCGC